CACGACCCUAUCUCAUUUCAGUUUCUCUCUCUUCCUUUCGCUCUCUCUUUCUUCACUGGCCUCUCAGUUUUCUCUUCGUCAUCGACAAUUCGAGACCGCCAAGGAGACCUCCAAGGACUGGGUUAAGCUCUUCGUUUUCUCUACCUUCUUCCUUCACACAUCUCUCAGCCGGAGCUUCCUCCUUUCCCUCCAGUUAUGAUUAGAUCUUUUGUAAAGAUCCAAUAUUGGGGCCGCUAAGUUUGUGAAGGAGAUGGGGCUCAAUUAUCGAGCUGCACUUAGCAAUAUCACCAAUUUCAAAAGAGAGGCUUUUGGGCACUUCAGAAGUGUCAGUCCCAGUUCUUGAUGGCACAAGAUGAGAGGCUUAGAGCCACUUCUGAGAUCCUAAACAGUAUGAAGAUCAUUAAGUUACAAUCCUGGGAAGAGAAAUUCAAAAACUCGGUCAAUUCCCUUCGAGAAAGAGAAUUCAAAUGGUUGUCUGAGGGACAAUCUAGGAAGGCUUAUGGAACUUUACUCUACUGGAUGUCACCAACCAUUAUCUCUUCUGUUGUUUUUCUAGGGUGUAUCCUUUUCAAAAGUGUCCCUCUGAAUGCAAGUACUAUAUUCACAGUUUUAGCUUCACUAAGGAGCAUGGGAGAACCUGUGAGAAUGAUACCAGAGGCUCUUUCAGUAAUGAUCCAAGUCAAGGUCUCAUUUGAUCGGCUAAAUGCUUUUUUGCUUGAUGAUGAGUUGAAAGAUGAUGAGAUAAGGAAGCUCCCAUCACCAAAUUCAGAUGAGAGCUUGAGAAUACAAAAAGGCAUUUUCAGUUGGUAUCCUGAAUCAGCAAUUCAAACUCUGAAAGAAGUGAACCUAGAAGCAAAAUGUGAGCAGAAAAUUGCAGUUUGUGGACCAGUUGGAGCUGGAAAAUCAUCACUUUUAUUUGCUAUACUUGGAGAGAUGCCCAAAAUUUCAGGAGCUGUCGAUGUAUUUGGAUCCAUAGCCUAUGUUUCUCAAACUUCUUGGAUACAAAGUGGGAUAGUUCGUGAUAACAUACUCUAUGGGAAGCCAAUGGACAAGAACAAAUAUGAGAAGAUCAUAAAAGCUUGUGCUUUGGUAAGGACAUAAAUAGUUUUGAUCAUGGUGAUCUUACUGAAAUAGGCCAGAGGGGAAUUAACAUGAGUGGAGGGCAAAAGCAAAGGAUUUAGCUGGCUCGAGCUGUCUGUAGUGAUGCUGAUAUCUACCUCCUAGAUGACCCAUUCAGUGCAGUAGAUGCACACACUGCAGCAAUUCUGUUUCAUGAUUGUGUCAUGGAUGCUCUAGCAAAGAAGACUAUGAUUCUUGUGACUCAUCAAGUAGAAUUUCUGUCAGAAGUUGACAAAAUUCUGGUAAUGGAGAGCGGACAAGUUACUCAAUCCGGAAUCAUCGAUUUGUAUGGAACAAAAAUCUUUUGGAUGAACUUAUCAAGUUCAAGGUAAGAUUUUCCUACUGUAAGGUACGAUUAGUUCAAGGUCCAAAUUAUGUCGUUUCAGUUCCUUUAGUGUACGAGACACUUUACAGGGGGAUCCAGAAACAGAUUUCUACAAGUUCUAAAGCUCGUAAGCUUAUUGCACUUUCAUUCCUAAGGAUCAGUUUGGCAUACAUGGAGUUUAAGAGAAUUUAUGAGAUUGCCCACCUCAAAUUUAUAUUCCAGUUUUCCACACCACAGAGUUAAAGAUCACAAGUUUUACUGAAGCCCAGAUCUCCAAAUGAAGAACCCUGGUUCUGCAUUUGAUAUUAUUUAUGAACACUGCAGAGUCAUGUUCCGUGGCAUUGGUGUUCUGAAGUUUGCUGCUUUGUUAGUUACUAUUCUAUGCAUGGACAUUUCAAGAAGCUGGAUGAAGAGAUUAAAAGGGGAGCUGCAUCUUUGGAAGUAGAAGCCCAACUAUCUCAGGUUUGCAAUUGUCGAUCACUUCAAAGUGGGACAGUUCGUGAUAACAUACUCUACUUGAUUGAUGUAAUGACUACUGCUACUUAUACAUUUUUAAUUGUCA